GGGGUAGCGGCGCGUGAUUGGCUGCGCGCGCCGCGGGCGGGGCGGGGCCUGGCGGGGCAUCGGCCGGCGGGCGCCCCGCAACCCCUCACUGCCCUCGGAGCCGCCGGUUCGAGUCCCGCGGCCGCGCCCCGCCCGGCUGAGGGGCUUGGAAAUCCGAGGCUUGGGGAUGCGGUUGGGUCUUUCUGCAGUCCCACAACAAGAACAGUCCGGAGGAAAGGAUGGGAAUUUGGAAACAGGACACCCCCACUGCUCUUCUGGAUGGGACUGAUGGAAACAGCUUCAUGCCUUGGGGGAGCUCUGAGCACAAUGGAUUGAUCGGCUCCACUUUGCAGAGGGAUCAUUGUCUAAAUCUCCACCCACCUUUUGUGUCCCGAAGCUGCUGGGAUAACCCAGGAUGGAACCAAAGUGUCAAAUAAAAAAUGCAAAAAUAAACCAGCGUUUGCUCUCCUGCAGCUCAGAGGAGAAGUCUGGCCUGGCCAGCAGCCAGGGAAAAAGUCUGGGAGUCCUGGAAAGUAAAAGUGAUGAGAAGAAAGUCCUUUUCCUGCUGCAGGCAUCUGCCCUUAGCUCCCAGAACAUGACAUAAACGGAGCUUGUGCUCACCUCAGCCUCGAGG